CCACAGGUAUGAAGUUUACGGCUUGUAAUGCCUUAAGAGAAAAUAUAAUGAAAAUGAUUUAUAGGUGGUACUUAACCCCAGUCAAGCUAGCAAAAAUAUAUCAUUUGCCCGAUAAUAAAUGUUGGAAAUGUAAAGAAAAUGAAGGUACCUUUUUCCACCUUUGGUGGACGUGCCCAAAGAUCAAGGCCUUCUGGGAAAUGAUAUAUAAUGAAUUAAAAAAGGUAUUGAAAUACACUUUUGUGAAGAAACCAGAGGCCUUCCUCUUGGGCAUGGUCGGCCAAUUGGUGCGAAGGGAAGAUAGGAAUUUUUUUAUGUAUGCGACAGCAGCGGCAAGAAUACUCAUUGGGAAAUAUUGGAAGACACAAGAAUUGCCUACCCGAGAAGAAUGGCAGAUGAAAGUGAUGGACUAUAUGGAACUGGCUGAGAUGACCGGCAGAAUUCGAGAUCAGGAAGAAGGGUUGAUGGAAGAAGACUGGAGAAAAUUUAAAAUAUAUCUUCAGAAACACUGUAAUAUAAAAUAAUGUUAGAAAAAGGUUGGAAAAGAAUAUUAGGCCGUAUUGGCAGACAUGGUACAAUGGAAUAAGUAAAUAUGAAGCGUAAAAUGAGGAUAGAGGAGAAUUAAAUACUUUCAAAUGUUAAAAUAAGUAAAAGAAAAGAAGGUUAGAAGGUUUUGCUGGAGAUACGAUUUAAACUAGAAUACAAAGCAGGGAGGUGAGAGGAAGUCUUGGAAAUAGGUAAAAGGGAAAAAGGUUGUAAAGGUCUAAUUUGAUUUUUGUUAUUUUUUACUGUGAUUCUUUGUUUUUUCUUAUUUCUUUUUUAUUGUCUGUUUUUUGUAAGAUGCGUGUGGUUUGUUUUUUCUAUAUUUUUUUUGUAACUUUAAAACUGGAAUAAAUAUUCUUUAAAAAAAAAAGAAAAA